GUGGGUCUAGCUCAGUGGUAGAGCACAUGCCUAGCAUGCACAAAGUCCUGGUUCAAUCCCUGGUACCGCCA
rnacentral:tRNA from 1 species